rnacentral:rRNA from 1 species
AUUGAACGCUGGCGGCAGGCCUAACACAUGCAAGUCGAGCGGAGCGGCGGACGGGUGAGUAAUGCCUAGGAAUCUGCCUGGUAGUGGGGGAUAACGUCAGGAAACGGGCGCUAAUACCGCAUACUAUCAGAUGAGGCUAGGGCGGAUUAGCUAGUUGGUGGGGUAAGGGCCCACAAAGGCGACGAUCGGUAACUGGUCUGAGAGGAUGAUCAGUCACACUGGAACUGAGACACGGUCCAGACUCCUACGGGAGGCAGCAGUGGGGAAUAUUGGACAAUGGGCGAAAGCCUGAUCCAGCCAUGCCGCGUGUAUGAAGAAGGUCUUCGGAUUGUAAAGUACUUUAAGUUGGGAGGCGUUACCCACAGAAUAAGCACCGGCUAACUCCGUGCCAGCAGCCGCGGUAAUUC